AACCUAUGGUUAGGGCACCUUUUCAAUAAAUCUUUAUACCUCUUCAAUGCAUCAUAUAAAGUCUCUAAAUCCAUCUGUACAAAGGAAGAGAUAUCAUUCCUCAACUU
rfam:Gossypium arboreum cultivar AKA8401 contig_29638_3, whole genome shotgun sequence.